CCCUUUGCCCUGCUUUCCCCUCCCCUUCCUCUCCCUCCCAGGCUUGCAAAGAGAGGGAUUGCAAAAGCAGAAGCCGGGCUUGCAUCCUCCCGGGUGUUUGCACCGCCUGGAAGCCGGGCUUGCAAAAGACACAGAAAGUUGGACUCUUGGGAUUCCAAAUUGUGUCUUUAAACUUUCAUAAGGAAAUCCAGUCCAAGAGAAGCCGGGAUGUGGAUGGAGUCCAUGGUGAGAGAGGAAGGACUGAAUGGGAACAAAACUGGAAACAUGAACUUGAAGUCCAGCAGCAGCUGCGGAGGGUCGUUCCGCUCUUGGAGAAGCGCCUUCGAGAAACAGGAAAGGGAGAGGAGAACAAGUGGAAACUCAUCAGGAAAAAAGCAAAGUAUGUAGCAGCCCAGUUUGAAACAACUCUUCUGUACAAUUAAGCUGUAGGAGCUGUGCGGCCUGGAUCAGAGGCUCCAAGGUUUUGGCAGCUCCGCUUUGGUGCAGGUUCUUCCCUCGCAGCCAUUCCUCCAGCUGGCUGAUGUUAAACCUGGACACACACAAGAUAGCCGCGAAUGACCAAAAAAGCCUAUCUCCCCAAGGGGACUCAGGGCGGAUCACAAAUGCCGUUUGGACAGAAAGGACAGAACCAACGGAAAGGAGUGCUCUCACCGCAUCUCCGCUGUACUGCUUCAGGCAGUGAAGAAGGCGACAGGUGUUGGCCAGCCAAAAAGAUGUCAUUUCAAAAUCAUCGUUAUGUUUCUGCAAGGAACCCAAAAUAAAUAAUGAGAAAGAAUAAUGACAGGUUGCUUACCUGUAACCGUGUUUCUUCGAGUGUACUCUGUGAAUUCACACUAAUGGAGAGACUGCGCCUGCGCAGGUU